AUUGUGCGCCUGCGCGGUAGAACGCGGCUCAGCCCCAUAAGCAAAAUGGCGGCGGCGGCGGCGGCAGCGACGCGACUUGUGCUGCUGGUGUGUGGAGUUGCUGUCUUCCGGACCGCUGUGGUGUCUUCCUUUGCUAUAGAUUUGGAUGACUCGUUUAAAGAAAAUAGAGAAGAUGACAUUUGGUUGGUAGAUUUUUAUGCACCUUGGUGUGGCCACUGCAAGAAAUUGU